UCAAGGCUUCCCCGCACACUGUACGUGUACUGUGUGUGUGUAAUAAAACACUUUUUGAACACCUCCGAGGACUCUGUCUGCGCUCCCUGCGGAGGGAGAUGGAGCCUGAUGUUUUGCAGUGUCUAUUUUCACCAUUUAUAGGUGUUUUAAUAAAAUAUUUUGUGUUGACCCACUAUGGACUUUCAGUCGUAGGUCUCUUCCUCAAAAUUCGAACCGCGACACUUUGUAUAAUCGGAGUGAAGUUUGAUGAGCAUCUUGACUUUUGGUCUUGGGAUAUUAACAGUCCUGGAGGGGAGGUCACAACAGGAGUUCCCUGAGUUGACACGUAUGAAGCAUAAAGUCAGUUUGGAGCAGUUGGUAAACACAGAAGUACAUCCAAUCUUGACUAAAUUUCUUGUUUAUCUACUUCAUGCACAUUGCAUGCACAAGAAUCCAAAUCUCUGUAUCACAAUGAUUUCAUUAAAGCCUUAUUAUUUUAUGGGGGCAAUAUCACAUAUUACCGUAGAUCAUUAAUAGGGAACAAAAAAGAAGGAUCACAUCGGCAAUGUUGCUGGGAGACAGAAGUCUUGACACGUACUUAUAACUUAAACCACAAAAAACUCAGUUACAGCUGGUAAGAUUUGUGGUAUAAACCAGACUAUCACAGUCUGCAUCUUUACAGGGUUGUUUUCUGCUUUUGUUCACUCCUAGUGUGAUUAAAAAACAACAAACACAGAGCCCACUAACUAUUAGCCGCGUUCCCCCCUAAACAGUCAGUUGACUGAGAGAAAUGCAAUCCAUUAUUGUGAACGCUGAAGGAGAUGUGCUCCAAGGUCAAACUUAUAUUUCCUUAACUUACAUCCUAUGUUCUGUUUAAUUCCGGCAUCCCUUCAUGGCUUGAUGGAAAAAAUUGGUUAAACCAUUGCUCAACUUAUGUCUGAAUGAUGGCAGAUAAUUCUGAUGAAACUGACCCCGUAAGAACUUUGCAGCUGAGUCGAAGGCUCGUGGAAAUAAGGUCAGGAAGUGUCCGGCGUGACUGCGCGUGCGGGCGUCUGACAGACACACUAGUGCAACUCAGAGUGUGAGCAGCAACUCCUGUAUACUAAACAUAAGAAAAGUAAUUUGUAGUGCUUCUCUUUUUUUAAACCGAGAUUCCAGGGAUCAUGCUUAUAUGGUUUUCUUUUAUUCAAAAACAGGUUAGUUUAGCGAUCGUGUAACUGUGUCCUUGACCUUUUUACCGGCUUGAGAAGUUGGUUCCCUGGUGCAGAUAUCUGGGAUGGUUCAAACGCCGAGUCUCCAAAUGCAAACAAAAGGACCAACACGGACACCAGUUUAGACUGAAAUCCAGUUCCGAUGGCACACGCAACAUGUUCAAGCUUGCACGGAGGCAUCUUUCUUUCAGCUUAACGAGUGAACCGUCAGCUCGUUCAAACACACGUUAAAGUCCGUUUGGCUCGACA